AAUGCAAGUGAUAAAUCAAUUAAGGUUAUGUACAAUGAAAAGAAAAGAAAAGAAAAUAAGUCCCACUAUAUAUAAGAGAGAGUAAUGAGCUUUUGGACUGAUAUCUUAGCUUAUGUUUGAACUAUUUGGUCUCUUUGUAGGUAUUAUGCCCCUGCAUUGGGUUUUUUGAUGUUUGCAGUGGGGGUUAAUUCCAGUGAGAAGGAUUUUAUUGAAGCAUUUAAAAGGCCAGAUGCUAUUUUUACUGGUUAUGUUGGUCAAUUUGUUGUGAAACCCCUGCUUGGAUAUAUUUUUGGAAUAAUUGUUGUGACAGUGUUUGGUCUUCCUACUCCUUUAGGUAGGUCUAUCUGUCUUUGUGCGGGGAUUAUGUUGGUAUCCUGCGUAAGUGGUGCCCACUCUCGAAUUAUGCUACAUUUUUACAGAUCCACCACUAGCUCCAUUAAGCAUCGUUAUGACAUCUUUAUCUCUCGCUCUCUUUGUUUUUGUUACACCAAUGUUGUCUCUCCGCUUAUUGGAAAAAGACCGCGGUUGAUGUAGUGGAAUGGUUUCUAGCAUUCUGCAUUGUUAUUGCUCCUAUUAUCGCAGGAUUGCUUUUGAAUCGGUGAUUUCCUCGUCUUUGUGAAGCCAUGAGACCAUUUCGCGCCGCUUUUGCAUUUGAUACAACUUGUUGUGUUGGAGCGCCUUGCUAUUAACAUUAUUUCGGUUUUGUCCCCAUUUGGUUUAACUGCUUGUUGCUCAUUGUUGCAUUCCAUUUAUCAGCAUUCAUUGCUGGUUAUUUCCUCGAUGGUUCACUCUUCCAUAAAGCACCUAAUGUGAAAGCAUUGCAAAGAACACUAUCUUUCGAGACGGUGAGAGUGAGACCCUUUUUUGCCGCUUCGCUUUUGGCGCUUGCACUUGCUAAUAGGUUCUUCCAGAUCCACUUGUCGUUGUGCCUCCAGCUAUCUCAGUAAGCCUUUUUUGUUUACCUUUUCCCCCUUAUUGUUUUUAGUUUCCUUUUCGCAAAGGAAUAAUAUGCAAAUUAUGAUACCAUUUCGCAUAAAUUGUUAAAAAGAUGCUUAUGUAUAAGAGACUCCCAAGAAAGGGGCUCCUUUUGGCAUUGGUUUCUUAUUUGCUUGUUGUAGCUUGAAGAAUCUAUAAAGAUGGAAUAUUUGCUUUUGUUCAUAACAGUUAACAAGCUCGUUACAAUUAUGUGCAACCCUUAUUCCAUCUUCUCAAAGUUUCUUCUUUUAUGUUUAUUUCAAAGUUCCAAAUAGUUAGUUCCGGUGAAGAUGAA